rfam:Myotis lucifugus cont2.21312, whole genome shotgun sequence.
GGCAGUUCUCGGGUGAUGCACCUCUGAAUCGGGCUCCCUCCUUUCUGGUUCCAGGUGUGUCAGCCAAGAACUACC